ACAUAUUUUAAUACUAUAUUUUAAAAAUAUUUCAUUCAAACGCUUAGGUACUUAGCAUUAGUUGCAUGCCACUAUUAAAUGACUUCAUUUGGUGCUGUCACUUGGAGUUGAGGCCAGCGGUGCUUGUUAAUGGAAUGGGUAUACUUAAAUUUGGCCAGACCAGUUUGCUGUCUGUGCAACUUCAGGAAAUUUUGGAAGCACCAGCUGGACAGCGAAGCGAGUGCAAUACGUUGUCGUUUCACAUUGGCUUAAUAGUGUCCAAGUGUUAGUAAAAUUCAGCACUUUGCAUACUUUUCAUAGAUGGCACUGUAUACUGUAAAAUACCAAGUGCGUGUUUCUUCCUUCUUUGGAGGAUUUCAAAUAUGCGGCCACCUGUCUCCUCUAACCAUUUUCACUCAUUUAUACUGUUUAUGCGCCAAACUAAAACAGUUUGUGCAUGUGUGUGUAGCUUAUCAAGAACAAUACAGCAUUACCCAUCCCCCUUCUCUAUCUCCAAAGGACGAAAUGCUGCUGCCAUACUUGCUUUGUUUUUGUUUGAAUGCCUAAGUUUUUUUGCUGUGUACUGCAGGUAGCAAACAGAAGUGCCCUGACGAACUGUGCAGUGCUGACCACACGGUGAGCCAAGCAUCCUAUAAGAGGUGCUUAUUCAGCAUAUGUGGCUAACUCAAAGGAAGCACUUCCCAAAAGCAGUGCUACAAGGAUGUGAGCCACAAGUUCUUUUCAACAAUCGGAUCAGAUGCCUGAAAGCCAUGGGCUGGCUGCCUCUGGCCUACACAGACUGUGCAGUCAUCACAGUAAAGGUCUUGCAAAGGCGUGAGGCAUUCCUAUGUUGCAUAGAACAUUCUACAAAACCGGCCCAAAGGCAGACAGAAGGUAGUACAGAUGGACAGACAUAAGCCAUUGGGCUGCCUCGGAAACUGUGACUUUGCAUUAACCUACAUACAGAAAGGAGCCAAGUGGAGCAUUUCAUGGGCCAUGCACACAGUUUCAUAAGCGGGCUUUCAGCACUUUUGAUAAUUAUGUUUCUGAAUACAUCUGCUAAAGUUGUGUUCAAAAAAGCGUGUAGUAGUGCAUUUCAUCGUUCAUUUGGCAUGCAGUAGCAGGUAUGGCUCACACAUUUGCAAGAUAACGCAGCGCAGUGUAUAUUGCCACCCA